UACGUAGGGUGCAAGCGUUGUCCGGAAUUAUUGGGCGUAAAGAGCUCGUAGGCGGCUUGUCGCGUCGGCUGUGAAAACCUGGGGCUCAACCCCGGGCCUGCAGCCGAUACGGGCAAGCUAGAAUUCGGUAGGGGAGACUGGAAUUCCUGGUGUAGCGGUGAAAUGCGCAGAUAUCAGGAGGAACACUGGUGGCGAAGGCGGGUCUCUGGGCCGAAAUUGACGCUGAGGAGCGAAAGCGUGGGGAGCAAACAGG
rnacentral:rRNA from 1 species